rnacentral:rRNA from 1 species
UUUUGAGAGUUUGAUCCUAGCUCAGGAUGAACGCUGGCGGCGUGGAUAAGGCAUGCAAGUCGAACGAUCAUUCGCUUCGCUCAUUGUAGCGAUGCGAAUAUGCGAAUCUGCUAAUAAUACGAAUAAAAACAUUUGUAUAAUUAGUAUUAUUUGUAUAUUGGUAUCGAUACAGCGAGCGGAGCGAGUGGUAGUGGCGAACGAGUCAGUAACACCUUGGUUACGUACCCCGAAGUGGAGCAUAGCCAGCCGAAAGGUUGGGUAAUUCUCCAUAAUCCCGCAAGGGUAAAGUCGCAAGACGCUUUGGGAUCGGCCUAGGCCCGAUCAGCUUGUUGGUGAGGUAACGGCUCACCAAGGCUACGACCGGUAGGGGUGCUGANNNNNNNNNNNNNNNCUACAUGAGGAAGAUCGCCUCGUGCGGUUUGACGUUAGUGUAGGAAUAAGAGGUUGCUAACUCUGUGCCAGCCCGCCUAAAUUUUUGGCGAGGCUGGAAAUGGCGCAGAGCUUCGACGGUAACGUCGGAUAGGAAAACUUGGCUUAUAUGCUGGAACAUUUUUUAUCGUCCGCUGAUAUUUCUCUAUACAAGAGAACGCGAUAAAAAAUAAUCAGCAGGGAAGUCGUAAUUGACCCCUCAGAGACUUCGUUGAUUAAACGAGAUAGAUGUUUUUGAACGUCUAUAAUAUGCCAGGCCCCCAUAAAAUGGGGUGAUGAUAUAGUCCAAUUAGUUCGCCAAAAACUUUGGCGGGCCAGCAGCAGCGGUAAUACAGAGACCUCGAGCGUUGUCCGGAUUUAUUGGGCGUAAAGGGCGCGUAGGAUUCUCUUUGCAUCUCCAGUCAAAUAUUGAGGCUUAACCUCAAAACCGCUGGAGAGAUGAAAGAGAUUGAGGGUGCCAGAGGCAAGCGGAACGCACGGUGUAGGGGUGAAAUCCGUUGAUAUCGUGCGGAACACCAUAGGCGAAGGCGGCUUGCUGGGGCAUUCCUGACUCUGAGGCGCGAAAGCGUGGGGAGCAAAAAGGAUUAGAUACCCUUGUAGUCCACGCCCUAAACUAUGUUCGCUGGCUGUCGGGAGUAUCGACCCUCUCGGUGGCGAAGCUAACGCGUUAAGCGAACCGCCUGGGAAGUACGGCCGCAAGGCUAAAACUCAAAGGAAUAGACGGGGACUCGCACAAGCGGUGGAGCAUGAGGUUUAAUUCGAUGGUAAGCGAAACACCUCACCAGGGCUUGAAAUCCCAACGACGUCUCGCCGAAAGGCGUGAUUCUCCAGGUUUACUUGGAGCGUUGGGGCAGGUGUUGCACGGUUGUCGUCAGCUCGUGGCUUGAGUUGUUCCCUUAAGUGGGUCAACGAGCGCAACCCCUGUUGCCUGUUACAAGUGUCAGGCAAGACUGCCCAGCUCUUUUGGCAGUAUUAGAUUUUGUUGAUAGUAUGUGAGUAUGUUCUAUGUUUAUCUGAUAAAAAGUUUAAAAAGUGAUUUUCUGUAUGUCGGUACUACCGAUGAUUUAAGAAGAAGAUUUGCAGAACAUAGUAGUGGAAGAGAACUAUCAACAAAAUCUUACGCGCCUUUUAAGUUAAUUUAUUGCGAAGCCUAUCGGAGUAAGUAAGAAAGAUGCUUUGAUUAGAGAGAAAAAAUUAAAACAUCAUGGCAGCGUAAUUGGUCAUCUUAAAAGGCGCGUCAAACAUAGUUUAUUAGAAUAGUGCCAAAAGAGCUGGGAGGAAGGAGGGGAUGACGUCAAAUCAGCGUGACCCUUUGAUGCCCUGGGCGACACUCAUGCUACAAUGGCAGGUACAAUGGGUAGCCAAGCCGUAAGGCGGAGCCAAUCCCAUCAAAACUUGCCCCAGUUCGGAUUGGAGUCUGCAACUCGACUCCAUGAAGCCGGAAUCGCUAGUAAUCGCGGAUCAGCACGCCGCGGUGAAUACGUUCUCGAGUCUUGUACUCA